CCUACGGGUGGCAGCAGUGAGGAAUAUUGGUCAAUGGACGAGAGUCUGAACCAGCCAAGCAGCGUGAAGGAUGACUGCUCUAUGGGUUGUAAACUUCUUUUAUAAAGGAAUAAAAAGAGGCACGUGUGCCUUUAUGCAUGUCCCUUAUGAAUAAGGAUCGGCUAACUCCGUGCCAGCAGCCGCGGUAAUACGGAGGAUCCGAGCGUUAUCCGGAUUUAUUGGGUUUAAAGGGAGCGUAGAUGGGUUGUUAAGUCAGUUGUGAAAGUUUGGGGCUCAACCGUGAAAUUGCAAUUGAUACUGGCAGUCUUGAGUACAGUUGAGGUAGGCGGAAUUCGUGGUGUAGCGGUGAAAUGCUUAGAUAUCACGAAGAACCCCGAUUGCGAAGGCAGCUUACUAAACUGUGACUGACAUUGAUGCUCGAAAGUGUGGGGAUCAAACAGGAUUAGAUACCCUAGUAGUC
rnacentral:rRNA from 1 species